ensembl:lncRNA
AGAUGAUCUUCCAGCCCCUUCAUCCUCCCUUCCAUCGCAAGCAGAUUCAGACAACAGUGUUCUCCAAACGAGAGACCCUCAAGAUUCAAGUCUUCCAGUCGCGGUCCUACAUGAAAAGAAACAUCUCAGUGGUUCUUUCCCAGAUGAUCUUCCAGCCCCUUCAUCAACCCCUUCAUCUCAAGCAGAUUCAGACGACAUUGUUCACAAUAGAAAAGACCAUCAAGAUUCAAAUCUUCCAGUUCCAGUCCCACGUGUAAAGAAGCGUCUCAGUGGUUCUUUUCCAGAUGAUCUUCCAGGCCCUUCACCCUACCUUCCAUCGCAAGCAGAUUCGGACAACAUUGUUCACCAAACAAGAGACCCUCAAGAUUCAAGUCUGCCAGUCCUGGUUCCACGUAUUAAGAAACGUCUCAGUGGUUCUUUUCCAGAUGAUCUUUCAGCCCCUUCACCCUCCCUUCCAUCGCAAGCAGAUUCAUACAACAUUGUAAACAAUAGAGAAGACCAUCAUGAUUUAAAUCUGCCAGUGCCAAUGCCAAGGGUGAAGAAACGUCUAAGUGGCUCAUUUCCAGAUGAUCUCACUGUUCCCUCAAGUUGUCCACCUCCUGUAGAUUUACUUUACAUAGGAGUCCUUGAAGGAGUACCAAGGGAUACAAGCAUGCCCAUCCCAAUUCCCCACUCAGAGAAUCUCAGUAAUGAGUUCUCUGAUGAGAACCUUCCAAGCUUCCCUCAAGAAGAAGAAGGCAAGCCUAAUCUCUCAGAAAACAAACAAUGUUCUGUUGAAGUCGACACGCAGGUGAGGGCAGAAGCAGAUAUUGAGAACCUCAAGGGUUCCACCACCUCAAGUGCCAAUGAAGUAGAGCUAAACAGAAAAGGCCCAGAGGAGUCUGAUUUAGAACCUGUUGGCCAGUUAGUAUCUGAUGUAACAGUUGUCAGUGAAAAACCUAAGACUGGUGCUCCACUUGGUGAACAUUGUAAGGACAAAGGGGAGACAGACCAACAAAUUGAAAAAGAUAAAAGUGUUGAGGAAGAAAAGGAUGCUGUACAUUCUGGAGAUGAGGUUGAUUUGAGCAUGGACAGUGUAGAUGACACAGGUGUUAUCAUAGAUGAAUUUAGACAAGAAGUAGCUGAAGACUCCUCCAGUCUUCCUGUGCCAAUACCUCGUGUGAAGAAACGUUUAAGUGGCUCUUUCCCAGAAGACGUCUCCAUUUCCAGUUCCUCCUCAGCCAAUCAACAUGAGGCUUCAGAAAAGGCCAAUAAUGAGCCGACAGUGCCUGUUCGUAAUAAACGAAGAGCUGCAGCAGAUGCCAUAGACCUUCAGGGAAGUUCCACAGCUCACACAUCGCCAACCAGUGAAACAGAGGUUGUUAAAUCUGCUACUUUUUAAU